rnacentral:SRP_RNA from 1 species
GUGUUGAGGAUUGGGUCCCACGCAACGGAGGCUCACGAACCUGGUCAGGUCCGGAAGGAAGCAGCCAUAAGUGAGCUCAACCGUGUGCCGUGGGGGUGCUCAAUCUGAGCCUGAA